rnacentral:rRNA from 1 species
CAGUCGCCACGGGAAUACAGAGGGUGCGAGCGUUAAUCGGAUUUACUGGGCGUAAAGCGUGCGUAGGCGGCUUUUUAAGUCGGAUGUGAAAUCCCUGAGCUUAACCUGGGAACUGCAUUUGAAACUGGCAGGCUAGAGUCUUGUAGAGGGGGGUAGAAUUCCAGGUGUAGCGGUGAAAUGCGUAGAGAUCUGGAGGAAUACCGGUGGCGAAGGCGGCCCCCUGGACAAAGACUGACGCUCAGGUGCGAAAGCGUGGGGAGCAAACAGGAUUAGAUACCCCGGUAGUCCCUGUCUCUUAUAC